GGGGGCGAAAUGGGUUCGACGGGGGUAGAGAGAUAAGAGGUGCAUGCCGAGGUCCCAGUCCUCGUAAAACCAUGGGAACCUAUAUAAUUGCCAACUAUGAGUACGCUUUAGCCGCCUAAAGUGCGGUUAACGUCCUCCUGAUCUCGCCUGUAGGCUUGGGAAGGACGUCAGACAUGCAGGCUAGCUUCCUCUGAUGCUUAUAAGGAGGGGGUGAAACGCCAUAAGCUAGCCCUUUAGUGAUCCUGCCUGGAGGAGCUCCAGAGGGUGAAACCAAAAUCCGGGAUACGCAUGUAGAUCCUCUUAUGGACCUGCUUUCGGACGCGGGUUCGAUUCCCGCCGCCUCCACCA
rnacentral:tmRNA from 1 species